rnacentral:rRNA from 1 species
UACGUAGGGGGCGAGCGUUGUCCGGAUUUAUUGGGCGUAAAGAGCGUGUAGGCGGCCAGGUAGGUCUGCUGUGAAAACUCGAGGCUCAACCUCGAGACGUCGGCGGAAACCAUCUGGCUAGAGUCCGGAAGAGGAGAGUGGAAUUCCGGGUGGAGCGUUGAAAUGCGUAGAGAUCCGGAGGAACACCGACGGCGUAGGCAGCGCCCUGGCCGUUUCCUGACGCUGAAGCACGAAAGCUGGGGGAGCAAACAGG